rnacentral:lncRNA from 1 species
UCUCUUCCACCUGUCACUCACUAUCUCUCUCCACUCCCAACAAACUCUACAUGCGUCUCACACUCACCUCCUCACGAAAAUCUCUGAAAAUCCCUCAUAUACCUCGCUCCCUCACACCAACAGAGGAACACACACACUCAGAAAAACUGAUUCUCUCCCUCACAAAUCACUCUGCAAAAAUCUCACGAAACGCUCACACUUAUCCCAUCUUCUCCGCCUCCAUCACAAAACCCUCCAUCUUCCUUCCACUUGCACCAACAAAACCCUCCGCCUCACCAUCGGUCCUCCGCUCAAACUCCGACAACCUCACAAACCCGCCGUCACCCAUCAACAACCGUCCAACCUCAACCUUUCGUCCCCUUCAUCUAACCGUCGCCGACCGCCGUCACCCAUCAACAACCGUCCAACCUCAACCUUUCGUCCCCUUCAUCUAACCGUCGCCGUUCACCCCAUAAACAACUCUCACCAUAAACCCUCAAACCACCAUCUACCACACCAACAAACGCAAUCCAUCUUCGACCUCCUCAAACCCUCCACUGCUUAAAAUCGGACCACCAUUAAAACCCUCAUCUCACCAUCGAAAUCGCCCUUCCGUCACCACCAUCCGAAAACCUAUCACCCUCGCGUCUCACCGCUACCCAAUAAACCCACUUUUCUUAAACAACCAACACCGCCACCAUCAAAAUCCCUUCGUCAUGACGUUUCCAACAAAACGUCCAACCCUUCAAAACCCAAACGAUACUUACAACGGAUUGACAUUACAAGGAUGAUUUAUCCAGCAACGAUUACACUCGUGGCCUCGGUUUUGGUUGCAAGUUAUAUAUCCACUUCUGGACUUUGUAAAUAGAGAGGAGUUUCGACUUUCACAGUUGUUCCCCUUUCGUUGGCUCGUGAAAGUGGUUUUAGGAGGUAACGUUUGGUCAUUUGGAUGCGGUUCUGGCUCGGAUUCUCAGGCACACUCGCGCACUACUCACCUAGCCAUUCGCCGAAGUCCUCAACGGUAUAAUGCAAGACAUCAUCUCGCAAUAUAAUCCAACAGCUAUCAGUAAUUAAGUUCAUUGGCAUUUUGCCCCUUUUGAUUUUGGUUGGGUUUCUUUCUAUUUUUUCAACUGUGUUUAAUUAUCAUUUGACAUGGUGAUUGUCGCUUCCAGUUUGUUUUUGGGUGCAUUAGUAUUUUUUAUGUUGACUAUUUUGAAAGAGUAUGUGUUUUAUUUUCUGUCAUAAAUUGUUAGCUAGCAUAUCGUGUUAGAGUUAUGUGAUUUUUUUUUGAACUUCCGGAUUAGAUUUCCGUGUCCGUUUAAUUGCUUCUAUUAUAUCUCAUAUGAGCAUUAUGUUGGACUUAUUAUGCGGAAACUUGUUUGGUAUAUAGAGCUUAUCGGAUAAUUAGGAUUGUUUAGAGUUUUAAGGUACUAUAACGAUUCAUGUUCUGUUAGAGAUUCAUCAUAAGCUGCUAGGAGUUUCAUUCAAAUAGUUUGAACUAAACAUGUCUUUGAAGAAUUCAGAAUAUUUGGUUAUUACGUAUGAAGUUACCACUGAUUUUUAGCAUAAUGGGAUGUAAAUGAGGUGUGUGUUCGGCCCCAGCUCAUUGUUGAUUUAGAUUUCUAUUACCUCUUUAGUACUUUUUCUGUUAAUUCUAUUAUGUAUGAUGUAAAUAUUACUCGAUUUAUUGCAGUAUUACGUUUAAUCAGAUUUAUUUCACCGGAUUCGACUUUCAUGUCGUUAUGCCACACAUGUUCAUAAAGUAAUUAAUAUUUCACCGUUGUUUUCUUUUCACAUACGACGUUUCGAUGUUCGAUAGUGUUAAACGGUUGCCGAGGACAAUCUCCUAACAUUACCGAUUAAAUUCAAUUCAUUAUCUUUUUUCUUUCUUUGGAUGUAAUUAAUUUGAUCAAAACUUUUUGUUAGUUUAAUUGCGAUUAAUCAUUUUAAUUAACUUAAUUAUUUAAUUUAAUUAGAAUAUUUUAAUUAUUUUUAAUUUAUUCAAUUAACAAAUUUAACAGUUUUCAAUAAAUUAAUUUUGCUAAAAAAGAAAUGGAUCAAUUUUUCCACUCUCACAAACUCCACAUUAUUUCAAACAAAAGUAUUAUUUCAUUGUCAUAUCACUUUUAUAAAUCAUUUUCAAAUUUUAUGUAAUACUAAUCAUCACACACAACCAAUUUCAAAAGCCAACAACAAUUUCGGUCGUCACAUCGAGCCCACUUUAAAUACCCUUGUAAGUCAAUUCUCUUUCGCAUCGCCAUCAACCUUACUAUAGCUUACUUCUAUUGCGGCUUCCUACAAUGAACAUAGCUUGGUUAUUGGUAAUUCGCGUAGGGAUGAAUAAUCACUAAGUGAACUCAUUUCCUGAUAAGCACAAUUCAAGAUCAUUUUUCGAACGCAUUCAAUUUCAAAGGAGUUUCUCUUAACAGCAGAACUUGGAGAUGAAAAGGGAGAUAGGAAGCGUCGCUUUCUACUAUUUCUCAAGCCACUUGAAGCAAUUGUGCGGUACGCAAUAGCGUCGCGUUCUGUUUCCGAUUAACUUUUAAUCAUAAUCUCAAAUUUCAAAAUUCAUUUCAUAUAACACAAAUAUCACAAUCAUUCUCAAACCAUAUUAACUUUUUAACAAGGAUUUUCAAAUCAUUCUAAAACUUCAACCAUCACUUCAAUCCAUUUUUAAUAAUAACUAGUGCAAUUCUACACCAUUCAAUUCUCAAGUUUUGAUAAUAAAAGGAUAGUGAGGGUACGCCUCAUAUCUGUUCGUAUAUUCGAAUAAUGUGCGUAACUGCCACAUUGCUCGGAUCUUCCGUCAUCUAAUCCAAACCACAACUUCGAAUAAACUCAAAUAAUCUUUUCUAUAUCAAAACAAUUUAUACAAUAAAUAAACUAUCAAAACUUUAUAUAGAGUAAUGGGAGGGUCGCCUCGACCAAUUCUUGAUUUUUGGAAUAAUUGGCGUACGCCCACAUUGGCUCAAGAUAUUUCGAUCAAACCCUACCAUAUUCAAAAAUUCAACUAUUUUACGCAAAUCCACAUAACGCAUCUAACAUAUCUUUAACAAUGUUAAACCUGGUUGAAUAAAGGAUGGAAGGGCGUUACGCCUCACCAAUCUCGUUCCAUUAUUUGAAUAAUUGCGUACGCUUAUUGAGCGAUCCACACUAAAUAUUCACGGACUAAGUAAGACAUAAUGAUUAAAGAUAGGUGUGCGCACGCCUCAUUCUUCUCUCUGAAUAAGCAUAGUAGGAGGGCGCUAACGCCUCACUCACCGAUGCAUAUUCAACAUCCGCGAAACAACUUUCGACAAAUAAUUUGAAUGAAAAAAGGAGUAGAGAGGCGGUCGGCUUUUACUCUUCGAAAGAAUUGGACGAUGGUGUACCCCAUUGCUCAUCUUUCGUUGUUUUUUUCAAAAACAUCUCAGAAAAAUCAAUAACUUCUCGCCCGCGGGAUCGAGACCUAUCAACCCAAACACUAAAAUCAACUCGUCACCCCGCGUGACCAAAACACUUUCAAAAGACACUCACGUCCUUUCUAAUGCGCACAACAAACCCAGUGCUAGAGCUCCACCGAGUAGACAAGCCAGCGUUAAGCCGUUAGAAUACGAACCGAGUCCUACACCAUCGUUAUCAAGAACAACAACACACCAAGAUAUUCGUAGUAAGCCCGAACUCACGACUAUGCGUUCCUGAUGUUCUCUCUAUUGCGACGAAUAGUGUAUGUACGCAGUGUGAGAUUGCUGUAUCUUCGCGAGCACACUAAUAAAAAACCUCCCAUUUCCCCCUCCUGAGGUCUUCAUCCAUAUCUAUCAACAAUUCUUAUCACUCGAAGCAAGCAAAUAACAGUCAAAUGGCAAAAUCAGACUAAGAGGUUCCCAUUGAGUAUAACGGACGUGAGGGGUGCUAAUACCUUCCCCUUGCGUAAUCGACUCCCGAACCCGAAUAUGGUUGCGACGAUCAUCAUUCUUAUUUCUAAAGGUUUUUUUGAUAUUUUCCUAUUCCUUCAUUGGAAUAAAUAAAGUUCGGUGGCGACUCUGUUUCGAACAAACAUUUUUUCCGCGUCCUAUCGCGAGGGAUCGCAUUAUCAUCAUUUUUGAGGUGCGAGAGACUGACGACUCUGCUGGGGACUACCAUUUUUCCGCGUCCUGUCGCGAGGGAUCGCAUUUUUGAGGUGCGACAGACUGGCGACUCUGCUGGGGAAUCACUACUCCAAGCAAGAGAGAGUCUAGCCUAACUUAGUUUGAUUUUUCUAUGACUGUUGGAAGAUAUUCUUUUCUUCCAUGUUUAUUUCUCUGUAUUUUAUUCUGAUUGCUUGUGUUGUAUGUAUUUAUCUUGAUACUUUGAUAUGGGGCUUGAUGUAUGUUGUGAGAUAAGCUCCAUACCCGAGCUUCGAGAAAAAACUUAGAACCCGGAGUUGUGUAGUAUUGAACCGGGGGGUGUACACCUCAUUGGGAUAAUACGAAGACUCCACCUAUAGUAGAUCUGUUUGGAGUUUCCAUCACAAUAUGGCUAGCCCAUCAUUGUGGGGGAGGUUCUAAACACGAUCCACGACUCUAGGGACCUCGCCUUAAACCUAAGUUUUGUUUUCAUGAUUGGUGAUUAUGUAGUAUUGAACCGAAGGGUCUACACCCUUGUCAUACCCUAAAUUUUACCCUGAGUUUUUCACUUGCAUCAGCAUAGCAUAAAUCGAUCCAUUUUGUUGUGCAUUUUUAUCAGUUAAAAAAAACAUUCAUUAGUGUUCUAAUAAAAAGUCAGGAGCUCUGGCAUUUUAUUGGUCUUGAUGACAGUCAUUCAGUUAUCUAUUGAUUGAAGACUUAAUUUCUAAGUCUUGAUGCAUCAUUUAUUUCCAUUACAUCAUGUUUGAGAGGUUCAGAGGGUGACAGUCAAGAGUAUUGUCAUCAUCUGAAUCUUUGUAGGUUUUAAUUGUGAUGGAGAAUCAUUGAGAGGUUCAGAGGGUGACAGUCAAGAGUAUUGUCAUCAUCUGAAUCUUUGUAGGUUUUAAUUGUGAUGGAGAAUCAUAAGUAAAUGGUCCAAGGGUGAUUCAAUUACAUUUGAUUGUCUGUUCACGGUUAUUCAGUCAACAAUUCAGUUCAUUUAUAAGACGUUUGUAUUUUCUACUUGUCAUAACAUGCAUUUUUGUUUCACAUAGUGCUUGAAAUAUAUUUGAAAUAAUUUUUUCGAAUUUACAGACAGAUCGGUCGAAUCAUUUCUCAAAUGUACGUCGAAUUAACGGACGAAAAAUUUCAAAAUUGAGUUUUCAGAUGUCAGUUUUCUUAAUCUACAGUUCACUUAGUUUAACCUAGUGUGCUCAUUUCAAUUUUCCGACUACUUUUUCAGUCGCAUUCUGAUUAACCUGAGGCUUUUAACCGGUCGAUUUUUAUUUCCAAAUUUGAUUGAAACCUGUAUGUUUUCGAAAAGUUUAUUUCACGCUGAUAAUAUUGGUGCAUUCAGUUUAUCUUUUCGGACACUUUUACGUCUGAGUUUUAUUUAUUUUUAUCCAAUUACUUUUAUUUUUUAGUCAAUUUAAUUAGUAGGACUAAUUAGAAUUAAUUAUGUUUUAAGUAUAAAUUUAAUUUUGUUCUAUUAAUCUUGUUUUGAUUUUUAGAAUUUUGGUUUUUUAUGUUAAAAUUUAAUUUUAAAUAUCAAAUUUUUAACAAGGAAAUAAAAAAAAUAUAAUAAAAAAGAAUUGAAGGAAAAAGUGUGGGAAAGUUCCCCCCAUUUUUUGGCUGAUAGCACGUGACCCUUCUCUUUGUCUUGCUGGCGCAAGAAAAAAUUCAUUUCCUCACCAAUUAACUAGUGCCACGUGUCCAUGAUGACAAAAUAGAAAAAAUGAUUUUUGCUAUAAAGACUAGCCAAACGCGUCACACAAGGGAGACCACACACUUCCUCUCUUAUCUCCACCUAAAACUUCAAACUUCAAACCGCCACUAAAUCUCUGCCUUGUAACUUCUCCACCAUCCAACACCCUUCUCUGUCGUCCAUCAUACUCCCUUCGAUCCGACCUUCACCUUCGGAAAAAAAAAACUCAACUUUUCCCUUCUCCGAUCUACGACACCGCCAACCAUCAUAAACACAUCACAUACAACCUUUCCACCCUUUGAUCCAUUUUCCAAUCGCGUUUUUGAUCCAAUACCACCCUUCACUCACCGGUAACCACCGCGACAUAUCAUCCUUUGCUCUUCUCAAGAUACUCGAACGCGGCUUUAACGAUUUGGAGAAAUCAGGAGCAUUCCAUAUUCCACUUUCGGUGGUCUGAGAAUAACAUUUAUGCACAACAUCAAGUUUUCCGGAUACCCGUGAAUAAGAAAUUCCACAAUAAAAUAAUUCUGCACAGCAACAACUUUCGGUUUUGGGUCGCGUCUUUUCUUCUUACUCGAUUUCAAUGUUGUUGGAUUGUGAUUAAUUUGUUUUUGUAUCUUGAUUCUUUUUCUUUACUAUUUGUUCUGUUUAUAGCAUUUCGUCCUAUUCGUUUAGUGUUUGGUAUGCUUGGCUUUUAUGGUUCUGUUAUGGAUAAGUUGGAUUUCAUGAUAAUCACUUUUAACAGUUUUAAUCGGGUAUUAUAAUACGUAGUUGCUGCUACUGAUUCUAUUUGGUUGAGAUGUAUUAGGUAAGAUCGGACAUUUAUCCGUGAUUUCGACAUUGAUAAUAUGUUGUUAUGACCACCAAUUUCUAUUUUGAUAUCUAUUUUGAUAUGUCAACUUAAUUUUCUACAGCUUCUUUUGUAUGUUAUGGUAUGAUAUUCUAUUUCGAUGAAUGCUAAAGAAGUUGUUGCUGUCAUGAUUCGAGUUGCUGAAUUGCCGUAGAUGUUUGUUGGAAAUAAUAGGUAAUGAGUUCUUUCUAUUUGUACAGACCCUUUAAACUUGAUGUUGUUAACUUUUACUUAAGUUGUUUCUCGUUGUUCUGGAGCUAGCUUGAGUUGAAGUCUUGUUAACUUUUACUUAAGUGAUUUCUCAUUUGUUCCCAGCAUAACAUGUGCUAGUGAGUUCUUUUUUUUAAUUAUUUAUUUUUUUAAUUUGUGUUAUCAUGCUAUUUUAUCUGAGGUUGUCCAUUUCAUGUUAAAUUAUUUCAAAAUUGAAUUGCAUCUUAUGGUUACAAGUUGUUAAAUAUGUAAGACUUGGUGGAACAUGUUGCUUGGUUGCCUUAACAUCUAGUAUUGCAUAAUUUUCCCCCCAACCAUUUUAUGCUUCAUCAUUAUCGUCACUACCUAUUUCUAUCACCAAGAGGAUACUUGGACAUGUCUCUAAUGACAUUGUCAUUUUUAAAGUUGUUUGCUCUAUUUUCUACUUUGUUUCUAGGUUGGACUUGGAUGGAUGGACUGAUAUUGGAAUUAAUAUCCAAUUUUUAUUUGUUUAAAUUCUAUUUUUUUAAUAUUAUAUACUCACUUUUAUCAAUAAUGGUUAUGUUAUAAAUUUUAGUAAAAGGAAACAAGAGAGUCACGUGGUAAGAGUGGGGGACGACUCCCUUUUAUUGCCAUUUUUUUGUUACUUUUAUUUAUUAUUAUUAUUAUUAUUAUUUAUUUUAUUUAUUCUGUUAAUAAAUGGUUUUAUUAUUAUUAUUAUUAUUUAUUUUAUUUAUUCUGUUCAUUUAAUAU